rnacentral:rRNA from 1 species
CUGAUAAGGUUGUUGCGUUCGAAGGACAACAGUUGAUACAUAGCUGAGCAUCAGGAUGAGCACAGCCAUUCGUUGUCGCUCACAUAUCGACAGACAAUACACUGGCCAUCACACAAGCAUAUAGAUGAGUACAGCAGGGACAUUACCAAGAAGCUGCGGCAGAACAAUGUGAACCUGGCAAAGGUUUAAAGCAUCAUUGGCACUUUUUUUGGCAGGAUGGAAAAUGUACCUUUCACAAAAAGAGCGCUGCGAAAUCUGUGUGGUAAAAUCAGCCGUGAACAAGCGGAGAAUGAUGCCAGAAAAACAAUGGAAGUGUUUCAGGAACUGUGUUCCAAGGAUCCCCAGUUCACUUAUUGUGUUCAGGCUAACAACGAAGGGCGGAUCAGUAGUCUUAUGUAGGCUAGUGAUAACAGCAGGUUGCAGUGCACCUUCUUUGGGGAUGUUGUGACAUUUGAUACAACCUACAAGACCAGAGGGACAAUGCUUAACAGAACCCAUUUAGUUACAGGCAUUUCAAUAUGUAUAUGCAUGCUAUGGAGCUUGUACGCAUGGGCGAUAGUAGUGUCGAAGCAUACUAGCAUCUCCUCACAUUGUUCAAGAAAUGUGCUGCUGAAAUGA